rnacentral:rRNA from 1 species
GACGAACCGUGCGAACGUUGUUCGGAAUCACUGGGCUUAAAGGGCGCGUAGGCGGUUGGUCAAGUCAGGGGUGAAAUCUUUCGGCUCAACCGGAAAACUGCCUUUGAUACUGACUGGCUGGAGGAGAUAGGGGUUGCGGGAACUACCAGUGGAGCGGUGAAAUGCAUUGAGAUCGGAAAGAACACCAACGGCGAAAGCACUCUGCUGGGCCGACACUGACACUGAGAGACGAAAGCUAGGGAG